rnacentral:snRNA from 1 species
AUACAUAGAUACAUAUGUAUAU